GUGCUACAAUGGGUAGUACAGAGGGUUGCCAAGCCGUAAGGUGGAGCUAAUCCCUUAAAGCUACUCUCAGUUCGGAUUGUAGGCUGAAACUCGCCUACAUGAAGCUGGAGUUACUAGUAAUCGCAGAUCAGAAUGCUGCGGUGAAUGCGUUCCCGGGUCUUGUACACACCGCCCGUCACACCACGGGAGUUGGAGACGCCCGAAGCCGAUUAUCUAACCUUUUGGAAGAAGUCGUCGAAGGUGGAAUCAAUAACUGGGGUGAAGUCGUAACAAGGUAGCCGUAUCGGAAGGUGCGGCUGGAUCACCUCCUUUCUAAGGAGA
rnacentral:rRNA from 1 species